AUGCUCCUCCUUUCAUCAUACAACAACUGCUUCAUCUCGGCUAUCCGGUGGAGAUACCUGGAGCUGAAGCGGCAUCAAUACGAUGGAUCAGACACUACUCAAGUUGGCAAUGCAUCCUAUCCAAUGGCUUCCUCGGAGCACACAAAUUCCAUCACACGCAGACCCUACUCCUAUGAGUUUCUUCGAGAGACCGAGCCGACAUAUCUUCUUAAAAUUGAUGAAGUCAUCACAUGCGCCUCGACGGGAACGUCUCCUCCCGCUGAAAUGCGCAUCGUCGGAAAUUCUGAAAUAAAUACAAAAAUAAUGCGAGCAUCAGGACUUGAAUCCUGA
rnacentral:rRNA from 1 species